UCCAGGACAGCCAUGGCUACACAGAGAAACCCUGCCUCAAAAUAAAAAAAUAAAUAAAUCCUGAAAAGGGGGAAAGGAAAAAAAGGAAACAUUUGAGCAGGUGUGAUGGUACAUAUCUUUAUUCCCAACACUAAGGAGAUCGAGGCAGUUAAGUUGCAAGUUGGAGACCAGGCUAGCUACACAGCAAGACCUAUUUCUACCACAGCAACAACAUAAGUUUCCGAAGAGUCCAGUGGGUAUAGUGGUAUGCACCAUGGUCCCACUCAGGAGGCCAAGGUAGGAGGCCACGGGAGUACAAGAUAUUGAGGAAGCUUGGGUAAUAAUAUAGCAAGACCUUGUUGGGGCAGUGGGAGGGGGCUUGGGAAGAAUUGUGUCCCUUGACCUGGUUUUAUUUUGCCUCUCCUCAGCACAUGGGGUGGGAGGCUCUUGAGGCUUUCCAUUUUCAGUCAGUAUAGCAUGGGUCUCCAUCAGAGCUUUUGCCUGUAUGGGGUUUGGGAUUGUUGCCCAAGAGAGGUGGAGAAGCAAAAUGGCAGCCACAUUAGCUUUCAAACCUGGCUGCACCUUUGCUUCCUGCUAGUUUAGGCGUUUGGGCCCCAUCUACAGUAUCCUGACCCUCUGUGUUCCUAGGUGUAAGUUGGCAAUGAUAAAUCCGUCGUCAACAGACCCUGAAAGCACCUGCAGCGCUGGAGGACUCAGUGACGGUCAACUCAGAAUGAGUACUUCAUUUUAUGCCAUACAGUUCCUGCCAGCUCUCUUCCUCUAGUUGGAUUACAGACUCUGGAGGUGGAGAUGUGUGCUCUUAGCUACUGCUCUCGCCACCGUGUCUGCGCGCCUCUUGCCGUGCUCCCCCUGUGAUGGUGAUGGACUCUGGAGCAAUAAGCCCAAAAUAAACUCAUCUAGAA